GUGCUUGUAGCUCAGUGGUUAGAGCACUGGUCUUAUGAGCCAGUGGUCGGGGGUUCGAACCCCCCCUAGCGCA